UCCCCGAUUGAUUCUGUCGGCGGUUAUAUGCUUGUCUCAAAGGCUAAGCCAUGCAUGUCUAAGUUCAAAUAAACCUAUAAUGGUGAAACCGCGAACGGCUCAUUAUAACAGCUAUAAUGUACUUGAUGUUGAUUAUCCAACGUGGAUAACUGUGGCAAUUCUAGAGCUAAUACAUGCACCAAAGCUCCGAAUUUUAAACGAGCGCAUCUAUUAGAUUAAAACCAAUCGGAUUAUUAAUUUUAAUCCGUU
rnacentral:ncRNA from 1 species